GUACGGGAGGCAGCAGUGGGGAAUAUUGCACAAUGGGGGAAACCCUGAUGCAGCAACGCCGCGUGAGUGACGAAGGCUUUCGGGUUGUAAAACUCUGUCUUAGCUGACGAUAAUGACGGUAAGCUAGGAGGAAGCCACGGCUAACUACGUGCCAGCAGCCGCGGUAAUACGUAGGUGGCGAGCGUUGUCCGGAAUUACUGGGCGUAAAGGGAGCGUAGGUGGUUUUUUAAGUGGGAUGUGAAAUCCCCGGGCUUAACCCGGGAAUUGCAUUCCAUACUGGAAGACUAGAGUGCAGGAGAGGAAAGUGGAAUUCCAAGUGUAGCGGUGAAAUGCGUAGAGAUUUGGAGGAACACCAGUGGCGAAGGCGACUUUCUGGACUGUAACUGACACUGAGGCUCGAGAGCGUGGGGAGCAAACAGGAUUAGAAACCCUUGUAGUCC
rnacentral:rRNA from 1 species